rnacentral:lncRNA from 1 species
UGUGGUGGUAAGCCUUCCAGAGUAAUCCAUCCAUCGUAACUAAUCAACUUUCGCUCACCUGAUUUGAUACUUUCCCACCACCCAGACAUCACCACAUAUGGAACUCACUCAUGGAAAGAGUGCCAAGUUGAGCAAUCUUUGUUGCUUCCUCGACUUUCUGACAAACAAACAAAGCCUUGUUGCACUAGAAGGGCGAAAGGCAAAUUGCCCUACCCAGGAGAUUUAGAAGUGAGGCUUCCACC